rnacentral:rRNA from 1 species
UCGCCUGUUUAUCAAAAACAUGUCUUUUUGAAUUUAAUUUAAAGUCUAGCCUGCCCACUGAAAUUUUUUAAAUGGCCGCAGUAUCUUAACUGUGCAAAGGUAGCAUAAUCAUUAGUCUUUUAAUUGAAGGCUGGUAUGAAUGGUUGGAUGAAAUAUUAACUGUUUCAUAUAAAUUUAUAAUAGAAUUUUAUUUUUUAGUUAAAAAGCUAAAAUAAUUUUAAAAGACGAGAAGACCCUAUAAAUCUUUAUAUAUAAAUUAUUUUAAUUAUAUAGAUAAAUUAAAUUAUUAUAAAUUUAUAUAUUUUAUUGGGGUGAUAUUAAAAUUUGUUAAACUUUUAAUUUAUAAUAAACAUAAAUUAAUGAAUUAUUGAUCCAUUAUUAAUGAUUAAGAAAUCAAGUUACUUUAGGGAUAACAGCGUAAUUUUUUUAGAGAGUUCAUAUUGAUAAAAAAGAUUGCGACCUCGAUGUUGGAUUAAGAUACAGUUUUAGGUGCAGCAGCUUAAACUUAAAGUCC